GAUUUAUGAUGACAUAGGACCUUGUCUGAAUAUAAUGAUUUCAAAAAUUGAGCUUACAGUGACUCUGAAAUC
ensembl:snoRNA Snord107 small nucleolar RNA SNORD107